GGGGAUAUAAUAUAAUGGUAGUAUAUAGCUUUUGCAAAGCUGAUGUAAGAGUUCAAUUCUCUUUAUCUCCA
rnacentral:tRNA from 2 species